UGCUGCCAAAGGGCACUCAAAAAUAGUAUGAGACAGACUAGAACAGAGAGCACACACUUGUGCUUGGAGAAAGUUUGGAAGCUGUUCUCUAGACAUUAACUGGUCCAACUUGCAGCAUAGUGCAUCUACUUUGUCAGAUAGACCUAUGGACUGGCUAACUUCAUAUAUGGUUCCUUUUCUUUGAGAACUCGGGGGUGCUUGACGAGCGGAGGAGGCAUGAUGGAGGAAAUUUUCAUUAAGGUUUUCAAACAACUGCCAUGCCUCAUGCUCACUCUUAAGCAUGAAUGUUCCCCCACAAGAAGCAUCAAUAAUCUGACGGUUUCGUUCGGACAAUCCGUCAUAAAAGCAUUGCACUAAUUGCCAUUUGGGUAUUUGAUGAUGCGGGCAUUUUCGGAGUAAAUCUCUAAAUUUUUCCCAAGUUUCAUGAAAUUCUUCUCCGUCAGAUUGGGUGAAGCUCGUGCUAGCACGCCUAAAUUGGUUUGCUCUUCCUAUGGAAAAAUAAUUUUUUAGAAAUUCAUGUUGCAUUUGGGCCCAUGAAAGAAUGGAAUUAGCUUCCAAUGAAUGGAGCCACUGCUUAGCUCUAUCCUUAAGAGAAAAAGGGAAUAGCCUAAGUUUCAGAGCAUCAUCAGCGAAGUUUUGAAUUUUGACAGUGGUGCAGAUCUCAAGGAACUCAUCUAAAUAUUUGUAUGAGUCUUCAUUGUUAAGUCCAUAAAAAGAGGGAAGCAUUUGGAUGACACUAGACUUAAUUUCAAAUUGUACAGCAGCAGUGGUAUCAGGUAGUCGGAUACAAGAUGGAGAGGUAUAAAUGGAAGGAGUGAAGUACUCCUUUAACAGCUUGGGUUGUUCUUCAGCCAUCUCGACAGGUGGAGCAGAUCCUAUGGUUCUAUAGGUACGGAUUUCAGCUCGAAGGGCCCUAAUAGAACGCUCUAUUUCAGAAUCAAAAGGUACUAAUUCCGGAGAUCUGGAACGACACCCUAGCAUACACUAAAGCUCUUCUGAUCAGUCAAGUACAGUCAAGCAUGCAAGAAAAACAUAUCAAAUCCUUGUGUUUACCCUAAAAUCUCUAGACAGCUCUUAACUAGUUUGAAGAGGGCACCUAAGCCUCCAAUUCGGUCUAAUGAACUGAGUUGACCAGGUAUGCUCCCAGGUAAGUAGGGAGGUCACAAUGCGUUCGCAAAGGUUCCACUUAAAAACCACUUGCCUCGAAUAGAUGAACUGUCUGCCUUAUAGGGACAAAGCUUCCCUAGACAUCAACUGAGCCACAGAGCGAAAUUGGUGCAACUUUCAGUGAUCUUCGUCCUAUUGAGCUCGAAUGUCCCUAGGGACCAACGUCUAAUUGAUUUUAAUUAAAAUGAUAGCUAUAUGAGAAUUGAUUCACCUAAUUUGGGCAAGAAUCUGGUGAUGAAAUCCAGUUCUUAUCUUGUUGGGGUGAUUGCCCUUACUAUAUGCGGAUAAAUUGGUGUAUGUGUAUCAAGCAUGCAUUCACACUUUUACUAAAAUUAAAAUCAAACAAUCACCACAAAAUUUCAAGCUAAUUGGGAAUCAAUUUAAAUAAGCAAGGUUCAGAUAUUACUAAAGAAAAUUUCUCCAUCAAUUUUUUUUUUUAUAAAGCAAACCUCUACUGCAUUCCUUUUCCAGCGGUUUCCGUUUUGAUCGUCCCAAAUUUUCUCUUUGAUUCCUGAAUAAAAGAAAAUUCAAAAAUUAGUAAGAGAGAACAAGGAGAUAAGGAAAGUAAAAAAAAUAAUUUUAUUUUAUUUUAGAUAUAUAUAUAUAUUUUAAAAAGUUUUAUAUAUAUAUAUAUAUGAAAAGAAAAACAACUAUACUAACAAUCCCCGGCAACAGCGCCAAAAAUUGAUAGUCAACUUUAAAGACCACGCAAUAGCACGUAUCUGGUAGGAUAGUGAUUACGGGUAUCGAUCCACAGGGAUUGGGGUAUAGUUNNNNNNNNNNNNNNNNNNNNNNNNNNNNNNNNNNNNNNUGAAAAAAAUUAAACUAAGGAAUUUAAAAAAAAAUGUAAUUAAAAUGAUAUCAGUUUGAGGGAACCUAGGGCAAAGAAUUCACCACUAACAUCGGAACAAGGGUUAUUUGUAUUUUAAUUCGUUCUUGGAUUAACAUGCAAAUUGGCUACAAGCCUAAGCAUUUAAAUAAAAAUGCACAAAAGUAAUUUGGAAAUAAUCCAUCUUCAGUUGGCAUGAAAUGUCUACCCUAAACUAAUAUGGCAGGAUACUGCAUCUUCCCUAAGCAUGGACUAUCUUAUAUUUACUUAGUGAUCAUGAAGAACAAUUGUAUAAACGUCAUACUUAAAAUCACAGAAAUUAAAUAUGAGUUAAAAGAAGAUAUCCAUUAAAAAAUAAUAAGUUCAUACAACCCCAAGAAUAGAAAUAAAAAAUAAAUACAAAUCCCUUAUCCUUUUGUUAGGGCUGCAUCCGGCCCUAGAGAGGAGAUCGGCCUUUCAUGGAGUCGUGGGCGACAGCAGCAGUGGCACAGCAGUGGGCUCCCAUUUGUAUCACGGUCGGCUUCCUUUUUCCUCCCGCAGCACUUCAUUCUUAUUAUUUUAUAUGUGGGAAGUUAUUCCCAAAAUAGCCAAACUACUCUCUCACUCAUGCACUCUGUGGGAUCUCAGCCUCCGAGAAGCGAUGCCGCCAAAGAAGAAAGCUCUCCUCCUUUUAUAGCCUCCCAGCCCUCUCUCCUCCCCUGUUUCGAGUGCAGAGGAUAAGCUUGAAUGUAGGAUAAGGAUGGAAGCGGCUGGAUGGAGCUGAGAUUUGUUGGCCGCGGGAGAUCGGGACGCGGGAGAAGUUGGAGCUGGAUCUCGGAUGAGAGCUUAGAUGGUGAUCCGGAGGACGUUGAGCUGCUGAUCCUUGGAGUGGGGAGAAGCUUUUGGCUUGAUUCGGAACAGAUGAAGCUGGGAGAUGAGUGGAUCACGGGAGGAUGAACUCGAUUCGGUUGGGAAUAGGGGAGAUGAUCCAUAGGAUUCGUUUUGACGUGGACGAAGGGGAGGAUGAAGCAGCUGGGAGCAAGGGAUUUUGUUUGGAUACGGGAUGAAGAUAGAUCACGAACAUGGUGAGCUGGGACGGACAUGGAGGAGAUGAGGAGGAGGCGCUUGGACCGGGAUCUAGCGGAAGAAAGAUGGGAUGCUCAUCCGACUGGGAGGGAAGCCAUCGCAAGUGAGAAGAAUCCGGAGAAGAUAAGAAUGCUAGGCUGGGAGGAUAUCUUUGGACUGCCGAAGACGUGGGCACUUAUCCGUGGGAGAUAAGCAUGUGAUGAAGAUACGAUGGGGAGACGUUGGAACGCGACAUGGUGCUCUGUUCGUGGAGGUUUGGAUUCUGUAAAAGAUGCUGGGACUUGUUCCAGGCGCUGAGGAAGGAGAUUGGGUUCGGCUGGGUUUGAAUGUUUGAUUUCCUUUGGUUGGGAAGAAUCGUUCGGCUGGGAAAAGAUGAGGAUGCUGGGGCUUAUGCGGAUGAAACGCGAAUGCUAGGAUUUGAGUUUAUCCCACGGGCGAAGAGGAGGGAAGAUGAGCUGGGGUUCUCUACCGAAAUGCCAGGAGGGUGGAGGCGGUUUUGUAUGACGUGGAGGAAGAUGGAAACGAGCGUGAGGGAAAGCUUUGGGAGUUAUCCGUGGGUGGUUGAAGUUUAUUCGGUUUGGUUCUGAAGCAGAGACUUAUCCAUGAAGUUGGUCCGAACGGGAUGUGAGGAAAAAAAACUCGGGAUGAGCAUGGGACGUUGGCAUGUUGACACGGAGAAAUCCGGAAGAAGGAAUCUGCUCUUUGGACAUGAGAGGGAAGGAACAGGGGAGAUUGGGAAUGGCUGAAGACACGUGGAACUUUUAGGAAAACUUUGAAUGACUAAUUGCGAAUGUGAUAAGAACUCAAAUAACAUAACGUGGGAGUUGUGGGAGUGAAGUUUAAAACAUAAAAGGUUGAACUCGAUUGGAUGUGAAAGGAACAGAUGAGUUGGGCUGAAUCGGAAAUCUGAGAGGGUCUAAUUCACGGGGUGCGUACGACUUGAGUUUAGAGAUCAUUUUAAAUGAAUUUGACUGGACCUGCACACAUUAAACUCAAUUAGUAAAUAAAUAAGUAAAACUCGAAUUACCUUUAAUAAUUUAUUAAAAUGUAAUGAUGAAGGUAACACAUUUUUUUGGCUAAAUUUAUAAAAUAUGUGAAUUAAAAUAAUGAUAAGUGCUAUGAAAAAGAGGAUAAUUUAUGUAUUAUUUAGCACUUAUCACACCCCCAAACCUACAUUUUGCUAGUCCUCGAGCAGAAUAAAAACUAACUCACUUUCGCAGGAAUCGCGAUUGCAUUUACCGUAUGCAAUAAGGCUUUAAACCCCUAGGUGGCUCUAGUGGACGAAUUUUGUCUCGUGAGGGUUUUCGGCUCAGAUACCCACAAACUGCUGUCUCUACCCAAAGAGUUUAUUUUAUUAUUUCACAAAAUCUAAUUUCGAAUGCAUAAGUGCCAAUAACUUCAAAAGCACACAAAGUUUUAAUUACUAAGUCAUCCCAAAUCCUAAGUCUAGAUGCAAUUCCAGUUGAGGUUAUUAAGCUUCUGUUAGAGAGUUGUAAGGUUUAUUUAUACUUGGGUGCUUGAUGAUAUUUGGGCCAUACACAAGCUAAGGCUUUAGAUUUUCCAAAAUAUUGCUAAAGCUAGUAGUUUCCAAGAAUGGGUCAGAUAAGACCUAUUCACUGAUUCAAAAUUAUCCUUAUCUUGCAGGAUUUCGGAAGUUGUGGAUGUUUACUUUAAUACCUCAUGGGCUUUAUCUGUAAUAUUCUAGUUUACUCGAAUUUUUACAACGAUGGCUUUCACACUAUCGUCUUUCUCAAGGUCAAUAUUAUUUUCUCUUUCGCUUUUUUUUAUUUAUUUAUUUUGUAUUUAUAAAUAAAUUAUACACUUUUACUCCUGUAAUGAUUCAUCCGUGUAGUGAGCAUUCAGUCAACAACUCCCACACCAGAUGGCAUAAGGUGUUGGGCAUCAAGACUCCCCUACGGACCUAUGCUCGGGUUCAUCAUCACAAGCCCGCUGACCUUUCACAAUAGGUAGCCCUUUUCGAUGUAUCUGACUGAAUUCACUUCUCUCUUUUUUUUAAAAAAAAUAAAUAUAGGAUAAUAGUGAAUUAGAUAGGUAUGAUUCAUCAGAACUCAAGGUUGCUACCAGACUUAACAACAUAAUGUUGAACCUAACCCUUAGAAGUGCAGGCCAUGUGUGUUGUGAAAUUCUAAAGUAAAAAAUUAUCUUACAACUCGCUAAAAGAAUUUUUAAUAAAAAGAACUCAAAUUGUCUUACUCCUGACUAGUCAUUGGACUUUUUAGAUUUUAUAUACUUUGUGUGUUUAUCAUUUCAGCACUAAAGCAUAGAAAUUAGGUUUUUUUUUUUGAGCUAAACUUUUUUAAAAAUACGAAAACUUUCUUCAAAAAGUCGAAUCCUAUACCCCCCAACCUAGACAAACAUUGUCCUCAAUGUGUUUUUUUUUGAGAUAUUAUAUUAUGAUUUUUAUUUUUUAUAUAUUUUCUAUUUAGGAUGAAAAUAUGAUGCAUAUGGAGUAUAGAAGCAUGUUACCUUAGCUGCAUCAGUAAUAUGAGGACUCCUGCUAAGAAAUUGAAAAAAUGCAAUAAGAAAAAAAAUGCAAAAAUGAUCUACGAAAAUUGGGUUGCCUCCCAACAAGUGCUAAGUUUAACGUCUUCAGCCAGACGCAACGCAUCCUUAUCAAAUCAUACCGGGUUCAUGUCGAGUUCUUCAAGAAAGAAAAUUUGUGGGAGACUGAUUGUCGGGCAAGGAGUUGACUGCUUCUAUGGCCUUGUCUAUAGCAGAGUUAAAAUGGGCCAAGCAUGUUUUCAGAGGUCAUAUGUCAAAAUAUAGGGAAGGUUAAGAUCGUCCAUUUUAUCUAUUAGGAAGCACUCAACUUCCUUUGCGGGUUGAUCAGAGGCACGAAAUAUAUUUAACUUGACCUUCAUAUUCCCAAAGGAUAUAUUCAUCACCCCAGUUCUACAAUUUAUACACGCAUUGGCUGUAGCUAAAAAGGGGCGCCCAGGGAUCACGGGGAUUUGUUUCUUAGGAUUAGGCUCAUGUUCCAUAUCAAGGACGAUAAAAUCUACUGGAAAAUAGAAUUUGUCUACCUUGACAAGAACAUCUUCAAUUAUCCCACGUGGUGUUUUUACAAAUCGGUCAGCCAGUUGAAGAGAUACCGAGGUUGGUUUUAACUCACCUAACCCAAGUUUUUCAUAAACUAAGGUAAAAGGUUGACACUUGCCCCUAGAUCUAAGAGUGCUCGAUCAAUGAAAUUAUUUCCUAAGACAUAGGAGAUGGUGGGAGCACCAGGAUCUUUGAACUUCGGUGGGGUGUUGUGUUGGAGAAUAGAACUCACUUGCUCAGUUAGGAAGACCUUUUUAGGCACAUGUAUCCGCUUUUGGGUACAAAGGUCUUUGAAAAAUUUGGCAUAGGAGGGAACUUGUCUAAUAGCAUCAAGAAGCAGGAGGUUGAUUUUGACUUGUUUGAAAACUUCCAUCAUCUCCUCUAGUGAAGUUUCUUUCUCGCCAAAGGGAGUGGGUGCAUUAAGUGCUUCAGGAAAUGGAACUUUUGAAAUGUGAGUUUUGGCAGACGAUGGACUAGCGGAAGAAGAAGAAGAAGGUUUUAGAUUUUCUUUUGACACAUUUCUAUCCUCUUCUUCACCUUUCUUAUUGUUAUCCUCCCCAAUCCUAUUGUCUACUAUACUUCCACUCCUUAGGGUAGUCAAAGCAUUGGCUUGUUCAUGAUGAAUUGUAUUUAGUUGAUUUUCUUGAGCCAUGUAUUGUCCCCUAGGAUUACUUACUGGUUGGCUUGGAAGCUUUCCUUCCUCUCGCUUGUUCAGUGCAUUAGCUAGUUGCCUCAUUUGGGAUUCUAGCUUGGCGAUAGAUUGCGUGUGAGAGUGCACCAAUUGUGUAAUGGUUUCCAAACCUUGAAGGGAGGUCGACACUUUCUCCUUAAAGGCUGUGUUUCUAUAGGGUGGAGGAGGAGUGUGUUGAAAUUUAGUCGAAGGACGGUAGGGAUUAAUAUUCUGGAAUGGUUGAAAGUUUUGGGGAUAAGGCUGGGAAGUAUUGGAAGUCUGCUGCUUCCAAGAGAAAUUUGGAUGGUUACGCCAUCUCGGGUUAUAUGUAUUAGAAAAUAUGUUAUUAUCCGGUCUGGACUGUGCUUGGGCAGUAUUAACUUGUUCUUGCACAAAUUCCAAAAAUUGAGCUGCCGAAGGGCAUUCAUGAAUAUGGUGAGACGGGCUAGAACAAAGAACAUAAACUUGUGCUUGGGAAAAGUUUGGAAGCUGUUCCCUAGACAUUAGUUGGUCUAACUUGCGGGAUAGUGCAUCUACUUUGUCAGAUAGACCUAUGGACUGGCUAACUUCAUAUAUGGUUCCUUUUCUUUGAGAACUCGGGGGUGCUUGACGAGCAGAGGGAGCAUGGUGGAGGGAAUUUUCAUUAAGAUUUUCAAAUAAUUGCCAUGCCUCAUGUUCACUUUUAAGCAUGAAAGUACCCCCACAAGAAGCAUCAACAUCUGA
rnacentral:lncRNA from 1 species